CGUGGAGCGAUUUGUCUGGUUUAUUCCGAUAACGAGCGAGACUCUAGCCUACUAACUAGUCCACACAUUGCCACUGUGUCGUGUGACUUCUUAGAGGGAUUUUCGGUGUUCAGCCGCACGAGAUUGAGCAAUAACAGGUCUGUGAUGCCCUUAGAUGUCCGGGGCUGCACGCGCGCUACACUGGCGAAAUCAGCGUGCUUGUCCUUUCUCGAAAGAGAUUGGUAAACCAUUGAAAAUUUGCCGUGAUUGGGAUCGGAAAUUGCAAUUAUUUUCCGUGAACGAGGAAUUCCAAGUAAGUGCGAGUCAUCAACUCGCGUUGAAUACGUCCCUGCCCUUUGUAC
rnacentral:rRNA from 1 species